ACCCAGGGCUCCUGCAGGUGGAGGCCGAGUGCAGUGGUGUCGGGCCAUGUGGGCAGGGGCGAGGGCGGGAGGGAGGGUGGAAGGGAAAAUGCUGUAGUGAAAGGAAAGAGGAAGGAGAGUCAGAGGAACAGGCUCCCGGAGAGCGCUGUAGGGAGAGUGUGCAACGAAGGGGUCCGAAUGGAAACAGGAAAGGUCGCAGGAGGGACGUGUGUGGGGCCCAGGCGGCCAGCAGAGUGUGGGUCCACAAGACGCGAGCAGGGGCUGGCGGGGGAGCGUGCGGGUUCAGUACCGUAUCUCUGAAGCAGAGACGACGGAGGUGAGUUGAGCGGGGGGUGAGGGAGCGAGCAGGGAGCACACAGCAGAGAGGACGGCGGAAGCAGCUGGACGACUCAGAGGGUAGCUGAAGGAACGUCAUGUGGCUCAGGUAGCGGGACGGUUCCGAUGUCAUGUGUGCGGUAGACAAGCAGAGCGGGAGAGGCAGGGGGGCGGGCCCUGGAGGCCCAUCAGGCGAUGGCCCAUCAGUCCGCAGCAGGUGGGAGAACAUGGUGGGGGAGAGGUGGUCCGAGGGGCAAGAGUGAGAAGGGGCAGGUGAGGGCCUCGCAGGUAGGCCAGGAGAGGCUGGGGGUCAGGGAAUGAAUGUCCUGUGCCGAGAGGGAUGGCAGAGGGCCCGGGGGAGGGAGCGGACGAGAGGCAUCCAGGAACUGUGCCCCCGGGUGUGGACAAGGCCCUGAGGAAGCCCGUGCAGGAGGAGGAGCACAGCAAGGUAAGACCAGCAUUAGAACCUGGAGACAUAGGAGGAGGCCAGAGGAGGAUGCGGUGAUAGAGGGGGCGGCCCAUUGAGAAUGUUGGGGACCCCCUGCCAGCGAAGGCAUGGUGAGACGAUGCGAGUUCCGAGAGGAGGUUAGAGAAACCACCGCUCCAAAAUGGUGGACCGGCAAAGGUGGGUGGUGGCUUCGGGCAGACGGGGACAAGAGAGGGAUUCGGUACAGCACCCUGGGAAGGACGAUGACAGCAAGGGGGAGCAAGAGGGCUAAUCAAAAGGGGAGGAGAUCUGGAGGAAAGACUAGGAAAUCUGCUGCAUGAGUGGCGUGUCGUGCAGAAGUGGGAUGUGGUGCCGAAGAUGAAGAGGUUUCUAGAAGACCAGAGCAGGAGAAAACGUGAGGGAUGGGCUGAGCCAGGUCAGGCUCUGGCCAGCGUGGAAAGAGAAAGACCGUGGAGUCUCAGGCAGCCAUGGAAGGCGGUCCUUCAGAUGUCACUCGGGUCAGGGAACUUAACGGGAAAACAAAGAAACAAGCAGCAUGGAAGAAGGGAGAAAAUCGUGGAUGUAGGAGGGACCCUGGGUCUGUAAAGGGGACACCACGGAAAAGGGGAAGGCAGCUUGCAGAACUCCUGAUCUGGGGGCUGCGGCAAACCUCAGAAGGCAAGAAGACUGCCGUGUGCAGUAUGGAGGCCAGGGCAGGAACAGACCCGAACCACCGUCGUUGGACAUUGGAAUACCUGGGGCCACCUCGAGCCGGUGGGGAAAGGAGUCACGAUAACCGAGGUGAGACAGGAACGGGGCAGCACUGCCCGUGGACCCUGCACAGAAACCAUGGCAGGGAGCCUCAGGGUCACUGAGGCGGGCUCAGGUGGACGGAGUCCAGCGUGUGGGUGGCGGAUCUGCUGCGAACUAGUGGGGGAGUGGGUGGGAACCAAGGUGGAAGGCAUAUUUUGCAUUGAUAACCAAAUGUGUGCUGCUUCUCUAACACGGGGCUGAAGCGUGGAGGUCUAGCAGGCAGCAGAGAGGUCGUACAGGGAACCAGAGAAGGACCGAGAUUUUCAAAACCAGCGGAGUGCCCUAGGUCUACUCUGAGAAGAUAAUGAAGGUUGUGCAGGGGCCCAGAAGGAGAGAACAAGGGGCGGACAGUGGAGACUGGGGCUUGGGGGACUCGUUUCCAUGAGGCGGGAUGGUGGCUAAUAGACGGGGGUGAGGCGGAAUGGGAUGGAGAGUGUGAGGGCCUCAAGUCUGCAAGUGGGCGCUGGGAGGGGAACAUGGCCAAGAGGGGAGGAGGGCAUAGGAGGUCUGGGCCAUCUCAACGAGGAGUGGGAGAUCAAGCACAAUGGACGGGGUUGGGUCCCCAGACCCGAUGGAGAGGAGAAAGAGAAAGGAACACUGGAUUUGAGCGAAGAAGGAAGAGGAGGGAGUGGCAGGCCUGGUGUAAAGUCCGGUGGGCAAGGGCUUGAUGGAAAAGGGAAGAGAGGAGGAAGGAAGGUGAGGUGGGGUGAGGCUAGGGGACAAGGGAGCCUAAGGGGGGGCGGUGGUCAGAGCCAGUGGAAGGACCGGACGAGCGCCAGCAGGUGGGGUCAGAGAGAACAUGGCCCGAUGAGGGGGUUAAAGAGUGUGACCCUAGAGCAGGUCCCAGGAGGGAGCACCUCCCAAUGGUGAAGGGAUGACCCAAAGCAACUACGUGACAGGCUUUUGGGAGCUUUGAGAGGCGUGGGUCCUAGAGAAGAGCUGGGGUGCUCUCCCGGGGCCGAGGAGGGAAAGGGAAUGACCCUAGAGCAGGUCCCGGGAGGGAGCACCUCCCAAUGGUGAAGGGAUGACCCAAUGUGUACAUGACAGGCUUUCGGGAGCUUUGAGAGGCGUGGGGCCUAGAGAAGAGGUGGGGUGCUCUCCGGGGGCUGAGGAGGGAAGGGGAAGGAAUGUGAAAAUGGGGCCUUGAUGCAUUGUGACAGGAGGGUCACAUCUCAGGGACGGGCAAGGUGAAGGGGAUCCCCAGGGGACAAAGGAGAGGGGAGCAUGGAAGGGAGGCAGGCUGGCCGCCAACAUGCUGGGCGGAGAAGAGGGAGGUGGCAGCGUCUGCACCCUGGCACUUCUCGACAUGCCUACUGGAGGCGCGUCCAGGGCUCCGGGCCAGCCAGCGGGAGCAGUGGCGUGGGGAAGGAAGAGUAGCAAAGGGGUGGUGGCAGGGGCCGCCCCUACAGCCUUGAAUGUUGUGGUCAGAGUAGAACUUUCCAGCCAGGCUCUUUACUACGGAUCCGGUGGGGAUGGGGUGGGAGGUGGGGACGGCAGUUGGGUUGGACGGGAGGUCAGGGUUGGGAUUAAUUGGGUGUAUGUGCAGAGGGGUGUGGGAGACAUUGGCGAAGCUCCAGGCACAGAGAAAACCACGUUUUAAACUGAGCUCGCAACCCAUCUAGACGUCCAACGUUGGGGGUGAUGACCACAGACUGAAGCGAGGCUGGGGAAGACCAGCACGUCUACCCAGAGAGGACACAGGACAGGAGCUGCAGGGACGGUGGCAGGUCUGCUGGGCAGGAAUCCCAGACGGACGUGAGGACCACAGUGAGGGGACGGUGUCACGGGUCUGAAAUGAGGAGAGGUAACCUAGGGAAGGAGCCAGCGGCACCCACGGAGAAAAACCAGUAUUGGCCCAAAGAUACGGUCACGUUGCCGGGAAGUCCUCAAGGCUGAGGGCGGGAGGGUGUGAACAGAACGAUGCUCUAGUGCAGACUGGGCUGGGGGCACAUCAGGUGUCGGGACCACAUGCUCAAAGAAUGCGGUGCUUCCAAGAGGAUAGAGCCGGGUCGGUGUCGGUAACUGUUGGGAACGUGAGGAACGGUGUUAACUGUUCAGGGUGCCAGUGGCAACCGAGAGAAGGAGAAGGUGACAGGCGGUGCCCGGGGAGUGCGGCCCGGGGACUGAGCUGGGCUUCCACCGCAGUGGUUCUUCCCGAGGAUGGGGGGGGGUGGUUUUCACCCGAGGGGGGCUGUGGGCGCGGCCCCCAAGGCAGGCCUAUCAAAACAUCUGAGGGGGAGCAGUGCUCUGCUCCAACAAACACAAAACCAAAAAAACACAAAAAGAAACCCCAAAACCACGGCCCGAUGAUGAUGCUGAUAGGCGGUCUUGGGGGUCACGCGUCCUCGGGUGAGAAUCGCUGGGUGGAAGGGGCAGAGUGGAGGGCGGGCGGAGAGGUGAAGCUUGAGCAGAGGAGCCCCUGAGCCGGGGGUGCAUGGGGACAUCAGAGCCAGGACUGUCAGACACGGGGGAAGGGA